rnacentral:lncRNA from 13 species
GACAAGGCUCUGCUGAUAGCCAGGUGUACAGUAGCAGUGGUAAAGUGUUGGGACUGCUGUUGGGACUCUGCUGUUGGGACAGUUUUAUGUAGACCCUAACAGUUUGUGGGCACCGUUUGUUACCGUUACAGUGCAAUUAAUGUAUUGUUUAGUGUUGUGCUGUGUAGUGGCUUUGCUGGCAUUUUAUGCCCCACUAAGAUUUACAUGCUAAAAUCGCCUCUGGUUAUUUCAUAGUUUUGAUGACUUCACUAUUAUUCUACAAUGUAGAAAAUAGUCAAAAUAAAUAAAAACCCUUGAAUGAGUAGGUGUGUCCAAACUUUUGACUGUUACUGUAUCUCUUAUUCCAAUGUAAAGGGUUUGGUAUAGAGGCAAAUAUUUCAUCAACGCACGAGGUCUUCGCGCCAUUGGCUGCUGCUGAUGAGGGCGGGUAGAGCGUGCGAACCCCAGCUCCGGACUGUGAGGGAGCGAGAAAAGUGAGACAAAAAAAGGAAAACGAGGGAAUUGCUCAGGACUCUCAAGCAUCCGAACAAAUCUGUCCUCCCAGUACUGCAGUUUGUGCCCAGUUUGAGCCAUCCAAUCUGCCUGUGUUACAGCUAAACUAAACACGACACUGACUAUCUUUUCGUGGGACCUGGCAUGCGCCACGGGACGCUACGUAAACUUUGUGCAGCAGUGGAGGCUAUCUGACAACGGACUGGAGUGACAGAGUGAAUAUACAGUUUGCCUAUUAAUUUACUAACUCGCAGUAGACGUGGAGGAAGAACGGGGAGACGGGUGGAUUAUUAUGCAACAAGUGGAAAGGGUAAGAUGGUGAAGGGAAGGAACCGGCUCAUGGUUCUGGUGGCCAGAGCUGGAUCUGAGGUGGCUGUCACCAUUGAGCAUUAAGCUAAGGUAAGAAUUAUGACCUGGUAGUUUUUGU